UCAUGCUUGACAUGAGUGGAUAGAAGAAAGAAACGGUUCAAAGGCGUCAACAGUCCAGGGGCAACGUUUGGUGAGAUCGCGACGUGUGGGUGUCCUUGUGGUCUACGAGCUGCUAAGUCUUAAAAAUCAAGCAGUGCAUGGAGGAGCCACACAACAGAGCAAAGCGUGAAGCCCUUAAUGAAGAAGCAACACUGACCUCUUGCAAGAAGCCAUCCUUGGAGGAAGAGGGGUCAAUUCUGCUCUUCCUCCCUGUACAUGAUAAAAGGAAAGAUCCAUCUGGCACCUUGCACUGCAUUGCUGAUGUCCCAUGCAGCGAGGACCUUUGUGGUGCUCAGUGGUGGAACCUUUUGGAUUUGAGUCCGGCUCGUCCUCGAGGUGAGCAGUGAUGAGGCUGCAGCACAGCGGAGCCAGCAGCAUCGUAUUGAGCGGGUGACAAAUGCUGACCUACGGUGCCACACAGUUUAAGGAUGCAAGCAUGGGUCUUGCUCACAAGGCAGGGCAAGGAGGCAAAGCAGAUUGAUUGACUCUGUUGGCUGCGUGUGUGAUCUUCUGAAUGUGAAGUUGUUGUCUGUCUGAACCCCUGGAUGGCAUAAGAUCAUAAAAACCUCAGGCUCAGAGUUUAUUUAGAAUGAGUCUCUGAUACAGACAUAAACAACCUGUGGAUCACACGAGUCAAAUACGUACGGGUUUGUCUUCCUGGAGAGACUGAUGAUGAGCUCAGAUAAUGUCAGGGCUCUCGUGUGUCAUGUGCACGAGGGGUGUGAUUAAAACUACAGAGAAGGCUGUGGGAGAGCUUAGAUCUGAAGCGGCAUGUCUGUAGCAGCAAGCAGGGGACUUGGUGCAAAAUUCUCCAGCUUGGCAGCCGCAAGAUACAUAGCAAGUUUACCAUGCCUGAGAGACCUAUGAGCAUAAUGUUUAUUUUUGAGGCAUCAGCAGCGCCUGAUGCUCAUUGGUAGGAAAACUUCAUUGUUAAAAUGAGGGAACUCUUUCAGGCUGCUGGUUCUGACCUUUUGAGUUAGCACGAAUAAAAGCCAGGUUAAUGAAAUGCAUUGCUCCACUCGCAAGUCAGGAAACAACUUGUCUGACGCUCGGAAAAAACAGCAAAUGCCACCAAGAUUUAUGCAGAGCUCUGGGGUAACUCCCAUCGUGUGAGCCCUCAGUAUGUAAGACACUGCAUUUCUGUGGGAAAAGAAGUCAUCUCCUAGCUUCAGCGAUACCCCCAGCCCCCGAUGUCUCGUGGUGACAGAUAGCAUAAGUCACAAAGAUUGUGACUUGCUUGCCAAGAGACACGGUCCAGUUAGCGUUUCUUGCCCUUACUGCUUGCUGGCUUGAGAGCUGCAAUCCUAAAGUGCAAUCAGAAAAAUUGCAUUUGCCACAGCAUGCUGAGGAACGGCAUAAAUUCUGCCAUAUGAGGCACUCACACGUGUUUGGCUGGCCACUAGUCACCCAGCUGCUGGAGAGCACCCAGAAGAGUUGGCUGUUAAUGAAAACACCUUGGAGCUGGCACGAAAUCGAUGAGACACUCGAGUCCCCCUUUGCAUUUCCUAGGAUCAUGCAAGUGUUCAUGCUUUAGCAGCCCAAACUCUUGCAAGCAGUGAUUUUUAAGCUCAAAAUAUUCAUGUAAAGCGGAUAUAAAAUUGACAAGCAUUUCGACACCAGUGACCACAGCCCUGUGCUACUCUGGGGGUUUGGGAGGGCUUUUAUUUUUUUUCAACUUAAGCCCCUCUGCUCUCCCUGUUGCUUGUAGGACUGAAAUCCCUUGGAGGAGUUAAUACCGUGGCACUGCGGUGCAAUGCCAGCUACCUUCAAGGUGACACAGUGGGCUACUGCCCUCAGUGCCUUGCAAGGUGUCCCAGACCUUUAAGAUCAGGUGGUUUGUGGCUGGGACCUGGCAAUGAAAAGAUCUUCCUUGCCAAGCUUUAGGUGCAGAGAGGCGCUCUCCAGCCCAGAAAUGAAAAGUGGCUCAUAGUCACUAAACAUGCCGCUAUGUGCGAUGGAAGGAAGAAUUCAUGAGGGAAUUUAAGGCUUCUUUCACUGUGUCAAUUCCCAUUGCCCUCCUAAACACAGGGAAAAGAAAUGCCAUGGCAAGACCCUUUAUAAAAGCAAAUCGGAUUAUUUUUUUUCUAACCUCACUUUCCCUGGAGUAAAGUAAAAUAUAUUUCUCUGGCUUGGUUCAGUUUAAAGCAGGCCUCUAGAGCCAUUAGAGAUGCCAUUGGGCAUCACUUCUGGCCCUCUAGCUGCCAUCCAGAAAAGCAAAGUUCUGCCACAGCUUCUUUGUUGCCUCUCUUGGCCCCACAUGAAAGUGUUGGCACCGCUAACAGCGCCUUGAAUGACACUGGGUGCCCAGGCAGCCGCACUGAAGCUAACCCAAUGCCUCCCUCCAGCACUAGCAGCUGCUUGAAAAAAUCCCGGCAAUGAAUAAAACACUGGAGAUAAAAUUUCAUAGUGGAUGACUUCUUCUCGGGGCCAUUAGUGAGACUGAAAAAUCAGACUUUAUAAUACAAAGCAAUCUUCCACCUGAACUGCAGGACAGAGCUACUCUAGCUCCACAAUAUGUUAUUUAAAGCCUGUUUUAUAAUAGAAUUUGGUAUUGCAGUAUGUAUAAUUUAUAAUAUAUUAAAACUCAUUUCAUAAUAUAUUUUAAUCUCCAAUGAUGAAUAGCUGGGACAGUUUUGCAGGUUCUGUAAUAUCACUAUGGCAACAUCCUUUUAUUUUUAAAAAGUAGGACAAUUGAGAGAUACCAAGGACUGGUCAAGAAAAAGAAUAAUGACACUUGUCAAUUUGCAUUCUUUCUGAUAGUUUAUUUUCUUCUUGGAAAUGGCAUCUAUUCUGAUACUUUUGCAUGUGUUUUCAGGGAAUCUCUUGCGACAUUACUGAAAUGUUGCAUCUCCUUUAACCUUUGAGGCCUCAACUUUGAAAAGAUUUGGUUUUCAUUGCAGUGCUAAAUGACUUAGCCUAUCUGCAAAGAUGAUUAGAACUCAGCAGCUAUUGGUGGGCUGGAAAUACAGCUUCCAUCAGGUUUCCAAUGUUUUUGAAAAUAAAAAUAUUGUUUUAAGUGCCCAACCUAACAUGCUUUAUUUAGAAAAAUGGGGCUUGUCUGUUGUACUAAAUGUACAUUUUUGAAAAUAGGGGUGCUUGUUUUGAAACCUACAUUUAGACUAAGCCUCUAAAUGGCAGUUAUUCUUUUCCUAAAUGGUAGGCAGCAAAACAUCCUCAUCAUUCACAAAGAAGAAAUCUCAUUUUGCCAUCCAUUCCAAGUGGUGCGGGGGGGUCUCUACAGCGGCACUACAGUAACUCUGAGUUGUUCUGAUCAAAAAGCCUCAAGGUCUGUUGAUCACUAUUUGCUUGUCAGGUGAUAUGCAAUUCAUCCAUGGAAAACUGGGAUUUUUGACCUAUUCCCAAACUUAGAAAAUCCGCCUUCUGAAGAAAAGAAUUUUUGAAGGCAUCAGGUCUGAAGACCAAACACCAGCUUCCUGGCUGAAAUACAUUCCUGUGUGUUAUUCCCAGUCUCAUGCUUUCAAGUAUCGGGAGAGCAGUUUUUGAGGGUAAAAGUUUAUGGCUGUAAUGGUUUGUUUUCUAAUGUAUAUUGAUCAGUCACUGAGGGGCUCUUCUGUCAAAUAUAUAGGAGCUCCAGGCAUGAAUUCCCAGUCAUUGAGGAAGACAGCACUAAAAACUGAGCUGUGUAGGAACUCGCUUGUCUCUGUGCUUCCUGCUUGGUUUUCUUGAAUACCUCCAGCCUCUGCCAUUCCAGUCAAUUCAACAAACAACUCCCAGCUCUCUUUUAGCACGGCUUCUGUUUUGUGAUCCUCAGUGCAACCGAUUCCCUUCAGCCUCAAGAUUCUUCUGUUCUGGCUGGUCCUACCCCUUGCCAUCAGAGGUUUAAUGCUCACUGCCCUGCUCUGCUUUUUAUGGAGCAGACUCACUGUUUGUUGUCUCCUCUGUGAGCUAAAGCUUCUCCAGUGCAUCAAGCCAUGCUUCUGCCAGUGGCGGGUCACACAAAGAUAGCUAGUAGACGUGGCAGCUGAUAUGAGGUAGGACUGAAGAUAAGAAUACACCUGAAAUGUCUGUAAGCUGGGGACACAUGGGCAUUUGACUUUUUUUCCCUUGUUUGUCCCAAAGCAGAACACAGGUGUUGACCUUUACCUUAUGAAACCAUCUGCUUACUCAGGCUUUUGCUCGAGGGGUGAUGGCAAGUGAAUUUCUGCCUAUAGGGUAAAUUCCAGGAUGUAUCCAUUACCUUGCCAUUGACAUUUGCCAGCUGAUUCUUGUGUUUUCAAAGCAAUUUUGUUCAUGUGCCCAGGGAAAUUAACAGUGAACUGUUACCAGGGUUUAAAAAGCAUUUCUGGAAUAAAAUUUCUUUUAACUCUUCCUAUUUAAGUCAUUGCUUGCAUGGAACUACUGAUUACAGAAGAGCAGGAAUCCUCCUGAGAAAUAGGAGUGGUGAACUUGACGAGUUCCUAUUGUGUUUUUUCAUGUUCUCUGGUUAUAGAAAGCCUGAUGGCACGGGCACCUCAUCCAUGACAUCGGUCUACUAAUAACGUUAGGAUUUCGUUUUCCAAGUUACAUUGUACUUGCAACAUAGUUUUUUAAAUGUGGAGCCCAAAUCCCAUUAUCUAUGUAGAAGUGUAAGCAGCAAGAAAACAGACAUAGUCAUCUUCCAGUGAAGGAAAAAGUCUCGUAGUGAAGGGAAUGGUGACGUAUAAAUCCAGCUGUAUCCAGCUGGUGCUCACACUGCAGCUGUAGGCCAUUGCCUGUAAGAAAAAACAGUUUUAUCUUGAAAGUAUUUGAAAAUGGACACACAGUGUCUCCUAGCCAGCAAGCUGAUGCACGCUGGCAUCUCUCCCUUUUGGAUUCAAAAGUGUCGGGGCUGAUGGGUUUUCUUAAAUGGGUUUACUCUCUUCUCACACAUACCUACGUCUGAAAAUUAAAACCAGCUGAGAGCAGCAGCACGCAAAGCUAUUUUCAUGUUCUUUAUGGAAGACAAGUACUUUCUUAUCCCAGGACCACUGGACCCGUUCAUAACUGCAACCUUUAAAGUUUAUGAACUGUGAAAUUGGGUGACUAAUAGACAGGUGAAUCAUUAGGCAGAAUGCCACAAAGGCUGCCUUCAAAGGCCUCCUUCUUCCCAUUUCUUGCAUCUCCCUGUAGAUAAACUCACUUAUUUCAACACAGAGGAAGAAAAACAGCUUCAGAAAUCUCAUGGUGCUGAGAUCCCACUUAGUUGCAGAAGAAUGGGAUUUUGGUGUUUCCUGAGAUGUGGUGUGUACCUGCUGUGUCUGUCCAGUUACCUGCUCAGUGUAUUGUCCCUUGUGCCUCACUGAGGUUCAUCCAGGGACGUGUAGGAGUUUUUACUUUUUGUUGUUGUUGUUGUUUGUUUGUUUGGGGGGGAGAAAACCUCUGCAGCCUCCAUCUCUAUCUGCUGGAGAUCUUCUUUGCUAUUUCAGACUGUGUCCUGUGCAAAGGGGUCAAAGCAAGCAGCGAGCAAGGAACUGAUAAUUUUCAGAUCUUCCUGCCACAGGGGUACCGCGAUAAUACAAUCCUCCUAGGUGUUUUGAAAAGAUUGAGCAUUCUCUUUCAGGGGGAUUUGCUUUGAACAACACUGAACACUUUAUGAGCAACACUGUUGCCUGGCUUGCUUUAUGCCUUGGCAUUCCCAUCAAAACAUUGACUUGCUCCACCCCUAUGUAAGAUGGAAAGUCUGAUACAGUCCUGGGGGAGAAAAAAAAAAAAAAAAAAAAAAAAAAAAACACAACAAAACAAAAGACACUCAAACCAGUCCAAUUGAUAGCACUUCAUUUACUUACUGGAAUGAAAACUCCAUGAGUGAUUUUGGAGUGAAGACCCAGGGGACUUCUCUUUCCAGUUCUGUACUGAAGUGGUCCUCAUCUUUAUCAGAACUCCUCUCCAGCUUACGGUUUCACCAGUUAUUUAUUGUCACAUGUGGAAUAGGAGCUAUGGCCAGACUAUAUAUCUUGGUUAAUUAAAAGGAACAUCUGCUUAAUGUAAUAUAAAGCAUAGUAUAAAGGGUAUUUCCUUUGUAUACCAGGCUGAAUAAAAUGAUAUAUUGUCUAUUGA